AGCGCAGGCGGGAAGACAAGUUGGAAGUGAAAUCUAUGGGCUCAACCCAUAAACUGCUUUCAAAACUGUUUUUCUUUGAGUAGUGCAGAGGUAGGCGGAAUUCCCGGUGUAGCGGUGGAAUGCGUAGAUAUCGGGAGGAACACCAAUGGCGAAGGCAGGUCUCUGGGCCGUCACUGACGCUGAGGAGCGAAAGCGUGGGGAGCGAACA
rnacentral:rRNA from 1 species